UACAGAGGGGGCAAGCGUUGUUCGGAAUUACUGGGCGUAAAGGGCGCGUAGGCGGCCCGCUAAGUCGAACGUGAAAUCCCUCGGCUCAACUGAGGAACUGCCUUUGAAACUGUGGGGCUUGAGGCCGGGAGGGGGUAGCGGAAUUCCCAGUGUAGCGGUGAAAUGCGUAGAUAUUGGGAGGAACACCAGUGGCGAAGGCGGCUACCUGGACCGGUACUGACGCUGAUGCGCGAAAGCGUGGGUAGCAAACAGG
rnacentral:rRNA from 1 species